rnacentral:rRNA from 1 species
GGACGAACGCUGGCGGCGUGCUUACCCCCUGCAAGUCGAACGGAAAGGCCCUGCUUUUGUGGGGUGCUCGAGUGGCGAACGGGUGAGUAACACGUGAGUAACCUGCCCUUGACUUUGGGAUAACUUCAGGAAACUGGGGCUAAUACCGGAUAGGAGCUCCUGCUGCAUGGUGGGGGUUGGAAAGUUUCGGCGGUUGGGGAUGGACUCGCGGCUUAUCAGCUUGUUGGUGGGGUAGUGGCUUACCAAGGCUUUGACGGGUAGCCGGCCUGAGAGGGUGACCGGCCACAUUGGGACUGAGAUACGGCCCAGACUCCUACGGGAGGCAGCAGUGGGGAAUAUUGCACAAUGGGCGGAAGCCUGAUGCAGCAACGCCGCGUGCGGGAUGACGGCCUUCGGGUUGUAAACCGCUUUCGCCUGUGACGAAGCGUGAGUGACGGUAAUGGGUAAAGAAGCACCGGCUAACUACGUG